ensembl:ncRNA T02C5.6 ncRNA
AAGAUUUCGAUCGCGGCGUGAGAGCGACACCGGGUGGGAACUCUAUAAUAAAGUAUAGCGAGUGUCCAAACUCAGAAAAUGUCGGACUGUCCGGUCUAAAACGAACGCGAGACAUCCGGCAUUUGCAGAACCGGACGGCGUCCGGGUUGCCUACUCCUCCGUUAACAAUCCAAUUCAAAACUC